rnacentral:rRNA from 1 species
GACGAACGCUGGCGGCGUGCUUAACACAUGCAAGUCGAACGGAAAGGCCCUGCUUUUGUGGGGUGCUCGAGUGGCGAACGGGUGAGUAACACGUGAGUAACCUGCCCUUGACUUUGGGAUAACUUCAGGAAACUGGGGCUAAUACCGGAUAGGAGCUCCUGCUGCAUGGUGGGGGUUGGAAAGUUUCGGCGGUUGGGGAUGGACUCGCGGCUUAUCAGCUUGUUGGUGGGGUAGUGGCUUACCAAGGCUUUGACGGGUAGCCGGCCUGAGAGGGUGACCGGCCACAUUGGGACUGAGAUACGGCCCAGCCUCCUACGGGAGGCAGCAGUGGGGAAUAUUGCACAAGGGGCGGAAGCCUGAUGCAGCAACGCCGCGUGCGGGAUGACGGCCUUCGGGUUGUAAACCGCUUUCGCCUGUGACGAAGCGUGAGUGACGGUAAUGGGUAAAGAAGCACCGGCUAACUACGUG